rnacentral:rRNA from 1 species
CUAAUACAUGCAAGUCGAGCGAACGGACGAGAAGCUUGCUUCUCUGAUGUUAGCGGCGGACGGGUGAGUAACACGUGGAUAACCUACCUAUAAGACUGGGAUAACUUCGGGAAACCGGAGCUAAUACCGGAUAAUAUUUUGAACCGCAUGGUUCAAAAGUGAAAGACGGUCUUGACUGUCACUUAUAGAUGGAUCCGCGCUGCAUUAGCUAGUUGGUAAGGUAACGGCUUACCAAGGCAACGAUGCAUAGCCGACCUGAGAGGGUGAUCGGCCACACUGGAACUGAGACACGGUCCAGACUCCUACGGGAGGCAGCAGUAGGGAAUCUUCCGCAAUGGGCGAAAGCCUGACGGAGCAACGCCGCGUGAGUGAUGAAGGUCUUCGGAUCGUAAAACUCUGUUAUUAGGGAAGAACAUAUGUGUAAGUAACUGUGCACAUCUUGACGGUACCUAAUCAGAAAGCCACGGCUAACUACGUGCCAGCAGCCGCGGUAAUACGUAGGUGGCAAGCGUUAUCCGGAAUUAUUGGGCGUAAAGCGCGCGUAGGCGGUUUUUUAAGUCUGAUGUGAAAGCCCACGGCUCAACCGUGGAGGGUCAUUGGAAACUGGAAUACUUGAGUGCAGAAGAGGAAAGUGGAAUUCCAUGUGUAGCGGUGAUAUGCGCAGAGAUAUGGAGGUACACCAGUGGCGAAGGCGACUUUCUGGUCU